UUUACCUGAUGAGAAAAUCUUCUACAGACCUGUACUGAACUCUUUUGAGUGUUGCAGAAAAACGAAUAUUGCCUUU